rnacentral:lncRNA from 1 species
GGUGGCGAUCCGGCUGCCGGAAGGGGAAACCUUCACAUGCCCGUUUGUAGGAAACCUCCGAGGAAAAAUCCCCGCUCGCGUUUGCAAAGUCCUUCGGCCUUGCUACGAUUUUCGCAUAGCGUCUUUUUGUGGAGGCACACCGUCGCUUUUCAUCCUCCGGUUUGUGUCUCGGUAAGCGUGCCUCGAAUGCUGCUCAGGGGAUAAGUUUGAUGGCGCGCGACGCCCGACCCUGCGAAUUCUGCCUGCGUGGAAGCAGACGCGAUAUUCUUGAGGCAGACUAUGCCUCGGGGUUCGCUCAGCAGCGCGUUGUGACAGGAAACGAAGUCGUCCCGCCAAGUCUUGUCUCCGAAAAUCUUCACUGCGCGUAUUUCAGUCGAACCGAGGGGCAACCCGAUCAGGUAACUUCCCGGUGUGUCCGAUCGCCUUUCGGUUCCUAGUUAGCUGCGAGUCUUCGCUCCUCGGCCUCUCCUGGUUCGUGAAGCAACUCGCAGGCCUCUAGUCACGGGGCGCUCUGCUGUUCGGGUUCGCCGUACCUAGUCUACCACUGUGGCGCUCUGUCUCCGAGAAAGUACCUGGGCAUCUAUGAGACUAACACAGACUCACGCGCUCCGCACCACUUUCGGUUCCGUUUCCCCAGCAACCGCGCCUGCACGGCACCCGUAGGGAAGAAAUGCAGCACCGACUCAGACGAUCUCUUCGCAACCCCAUAUCUGCAGACGAUCUCUUCGCAACCCAGUAUCUGCAUAUAGUUACAGAGAGACAGAGAGAGAGAAAAAAAAGAGAGAGAGACCGCCCGCUCCCCGGUACGUGCCCGCUAGUAGAGUGCGGUCAGCAGCCAACUGGCGGUCCCAGCGUAGCUGUGGGCAUUUCCAGGUGCGCUGCGAUCAGUGAGAGACGAAUUUUCACUGGACACGGGUUUUCUUGGCUCCUGUUAAAACCGUUUCAGUUCUAGCAUCGUCCAUUCCCCUGGAUUCCCCGCUGUGCGACGGGCUGCCGUCAAAACCGCAGGCUUUUCAAAUCCGGAAGGAGCUUGAGGGCGCGCUUCUCCGCACUCGAGUUCCCGUGAAUGCCGCGCAAUCGAAUGCGUUAAGCAAGGCAGCACCAGAGAUGCCAGUCUGUAUUUUGCCGUGCUUUCAACCUUGCGCGUUCAACUUUCUGUUCACUUCUGUUCCAUGUCUGCGCGAAACUCCCGUUCCCCGACAGCCAACGCACAAGGCUGUGAAUCCUACAUAAAAGAAAGCGUCUCGCCUCUGCCUCUCCGCCUCCC